ACUCUUUAGAAAUGGGCCCGUCUGCCUGGAGAGAGACCCUCCAACAGCAUAACUGCCUUGGACAACCAGGACUGAAGCACAUUUACUUUGGAUGGGGAAGAACUGCCAGUUUUUAAAAGGAGAGUUUAAACAACAGAGUGUAUGAGCAGAGAGGGGCCACCAACUCCCCUUCGCAGUAACUCCCCCAAGAGGGUGGAGGUGGAGUCUCCAGCAUGGCUCAUCUGGGUCAUGCCCCAGGCCGUGGCUUCCUCUGCAGCCUUGGGAGUGACUCCGCACCGUGAAGGAGCCUGCGGCACUUCUGCAUGUGAGGUCCGGCCCUUGGCACGGCUCAGUCUCCAGAGCUGAUUCGCCUCCUGGGCCCCUUGCGCUGCAUCGGCUUCGGCACAGCGGCCUCUGACUUAUGCCCAGGUUUGUGUCGAGGGAGGGGGACCUGCCGGGCUGCCAGCCUGCCACGGGUCCCCCCAUCAUUGCACAGCCCCGACUAACGAUUCCUGGGGGACCGACUGCAACACCAAGCUCAAGAAACGGCAAGGCAAGGAAGACUCCAACAGUCUUUUUUCCCAGCCAUGUUUUGCUGAAGAAAUGAUUUUAAGGGGGAAAAAGAAGAAAAUGCAUUUUUGUGUAAGCAGAAUGGAGCACAGCUUUCCGCGGUGCCCAGGUAUUUCUGUGCCAUUCUCUCUGCAGCAUUACAUAGCAGCAGGACUGCCUUUGCCUGACUGGCUGCUAACUAUGGAUGUGUUUCCACAGCAGUGUGCACAGCACCUUCCUCUGCAAGCAGCGCCUUUUGCUUUCCCCCUUGCCUGGGUUUAUCUGUAUGCAAGGCACCUGGCAAGGCUCUCCAGGCUUUCCAUCAGCUGCCCAGACUCACAGCACAUGGGCUGUGUGUGUCCCUUGCUGAGAGUUGUAGUUGUUGGGUGAUAGGCUCUUGGGCAGCUCCUGCAAGAGACCUGGUCUUCGCUGUGUGCCUCUCUAGAGGAAUUGCUACCUGUAGGCUACCAAGUAUUUAUAGCCAUAUUUUUAAGAAAGGGAGAUGCAUGUUUGUUCAUUUGUUUUCCGGCCUCCCUGCAGGAUGGAUCUGAAAGCAGAAGUAUCUCUCACUAGAGAGAAAAAUGACAAAAGCAUCCUCAUAUUUCUCAAAAUUUGCUUAGAUGUUUUUCAGGGUUUUGCUAAGACCUGCCAGGCUCCUUCCCUUUCCUUUCCUGCCUCACCCCAAAUACUUCCAUUUUUGGCUGAAAAUACUUCCAUUUUUGGAUUUUUUUGACCAACAGUGUCAGCCAAAACUCUAUCCCUUUUGUCUAUUUUUCCCACUUAGUUUGUUUCUGGCAAAACAAAAAUACUAUUUUGAUGGAAAAUUUUCAACCAGCUCUGCCCAUUAAUUUCUGUCAACAGUCUUACAGGCCAAACAGUGCAUCUUCCAAGAGAAGAGACUGUCCGAAGGGCUGACCGCGAAGCGAGCACUGGCUGACGCUCCCGUCCGCGGCGCUGUGCCCCAGCCAACACUGUGCUCUUUUGCAGGCCUCAGCCCUUAAUGGGAGCCAUCUUCCAGGAGAUGUUUCCAGCUCAAAUCUCUCUUGUCAAGUCACCUCAGUAAUUCAGGUACUUUGCCAGGUUAAAGGAAGAUGUGGAUGGCACAGAGAGAUCUCCUCCGAAGAGGGGAGCGUGGCAAGCUACCUCUGAGGACCUCCAGGGACAAGUCUGUAAUAUUGCCAGCUGCUCCGAGAUCGUUCAGUGAAAGGCCUUUCAGCUGUGCAAAAGUUUAUAGGCCUUCUCAGGGCAUUGGUGGUUUUAGAGGGUUAAGUUAGAAACAGGAAAUACAGUGACUAAAGGAAAGCCAUUAAUAUUAAAUUCCACCCUUUGCCAGAUAGUCUUGUGUUAUCAUUGCUCUUUCUUGAAAUAUUUUCCAGUUUUCUUUGCAUGGCAUUUGUUACAGGGGUAGCAACUGAGGAGCUGUAACUUGGCACAUCUCCACCUGCUUUUCUGUAGCAGUGCACGUGUGCUGUGGGAUUUGAAGAAUUUCCGUAGCCUCUAGAAUCGAUAUGCAAACAGUCCGCUGUACAGACAUCAAUCUGUCCGAUAGACAUGCUGCGUGACCUAAGAAAUAAUACAGGUGGUCAGCACCAUGCUGAUGAGUCCAGAAUUUCUGGAGCAAACACACUCAUUUUACUAUGUCUGGAAGACUGGGGUCUUCCCCAGUCUUACCCUCCAGGAAGGUAAUGUGCUAUGCUUGGCUGAUCACAAAACACCCACCAGGAUUUCCCUAACAAAACUGUUGUUUUUUGCCAAGCAAAGCAUAGAUUUCCAAGGAAUGAGAGCCCUGACUUUGCUACCUCUGAAAUGGCUUGGAGACCUUAAGGUGCUUGUCUCAGCAGCCAGGUCUUCUGCCCUGUAGGAGCCAGGACCUCCCAUCACCAGCCUGCACCGUGAUCUAAGUAACCCUUCAUGCCAGAGCAAAUGCAGGCCCCUGCACCACAGUCAGUGCACAGUCCCUUUCCACCUCCUUAGAUAGUCAUCCACUCUGUUGUGAUAAGAGCAGCAGGGAUAGAGCGGACUGUUAGACUUUCUGUAAAAUGGGCCAUCUUAAUCUUCCCCCCCGUUUACUGUGUUGCUGUAUGUCACUCUAUAUAUUUGAUGUACUGCCACGUGAGCAGGUAGGGAGCCAAGGAUGUUAGGACCAGGAGAGAUGAGCGUUGCUACCUGUAUAACCCAGCUCAUGCCAUCCUGCCCGCUAGUGCUUCAUCAUGGCCCAGAGCUGUUUGCUUGACCUGGUGCAUGCCUUGCAGGCAGACGUGCAAACCUAAAGAAACAAUUGUAGCCCAGGGAGCCCCUGCAUCUCUAAGCAAGUUGUUCCCUGGGGCAGUCACUGUUUCUAUUAAAAAGCAAUCCUUUCUUUCCCAUGGCUACUUGUCAGAUUGCGAGGAGAGCUGCGCUUCUGCUCCUGAAGGCCCUAGCUGCAGACACAGCCUUGGAAGGGAAGCUUGCUCUCAUGGCUACGGCGAAGGAAUGGGAAGCACGAGAUCUGGCGGGGAGUCCUGCUCCCAUUGAAGCCAGUGGGAGGUUUGCCAUUGGCUUCAGGGGAAGCCAAGAUCUUAGUCUGCAGCCAGAUUUGCUGGUGUGUUGAGCUAUGCUGAGAGCAGGAUCAGGAGGGGUUGCUGGUUUCCUGAUAAAACUGUUAUUGCCUCAGCUCUGCUGCAAAUAGCUGGUCUCUCACCUCGUAUUGCUGCCUCAUUGCUUUCCUGUUUUGAAGUCUUAAUCUUAGGCCAGAAACACUUUGAGGACGAGACUGGCUCUGGUUUCUGCCUGCUUGCGUUGUCCCAUGACUGGAGCUCCUGGACAUCCUUACCAUUAGAAGCACCCUCUGCUGUCGUGGGUUGCGGACUGUGCAAGAGAAUGGCAUAGAAUAGCAGCACAAGACUGAGAUAAGUGGCUUAAAUUAAGUAAAACAUAGAGAAUUUUCUCAGAGUUAGGAACUGUGCCUUUUCCUUCAAGCAGCAGCUUCAGUUAGCUCUAGAAAGCCUUUCUGUGUGGCUUGAGAGAGCCUGAAGAGAUUGCAAAAGUGGUCCAGGACCUGGCUUCCCCGCCUCACUCGUUCACACCAGAAGGAGCUGGAGGAAGUCUGCUGUGCUGCUGCGGUGAUGGAUGUAUUAUGUAGGGCACUAUAUCGUACCACUCUGAUGCAUUGCAAGGCCUGUGCCAGCUCUCACAGUCCACACAGUGUUCCUGUUUGAAACAUGGGCAGGGUUACUACCCUCCUCCGAAAAGCAGGUGAAGGAAAUGGUCUAACAGUGAUUUGACAUUAUUGUGUUACUCUAAGCAGCCCCAUUUUGGCCUGUACAGGUCCUGCUGUUUUUAUUUGAAUGGAGGCGUGGUGGAGCCUCCCUAUGCCAAGGAAAAAGCCAUUACAACUAAUUCUCACUAUUUAUAUUUCUCCCUGAUGAGGACAUCUCUUUCUGUUCAUCGUGUGGAUUUGGUCUCUGCUGCCCCUUUCUGGGAACAUCUGUAAAUGCAUCACAUCUAUCAAAAGAAAAAGGCACGAAGCUUGAUCUCCCGGACCAAGGAGCUGCACUGGUCUCCUCUGGCUUUCCUCACCUUGCCAGA